AAGGCAGCAGGCGCGCAAAUUACCCACUCCCGGCACGGGGAGGUAGUGACGAAAAAUAACGAUACGGGACUCAUCCGAGGCCCCGUAAUCGGAAUGAGUACACUCUAAACACGUUUCCGAAAAUCAAUUGGAGGGUAAGUCUGGUGCCAGCAACCGCGGUAAGACCAGCUCCAAUAGCGUAUAUUAAAGUUGUUGCGGUUAAAAAGCUCGUAGUCGAAUCUGUGUCCCGCGCCGCUGGUUCAUCGCUCGCGGUGUCCAACUGGCGUGUUUCGCGGGACGUCCUGCCGGUGGGACCUGGGUCGCUUCGGCGGCUCAGUCCCUACUCGUCUCCGUCUUGCACGGUUUCGAAUCCCAUCRCGGUGCUCUUUAUUGAGUGUCGAGGUGGGCCGGCACAUUUACUUUGAACAAAUUAGAGUGCUUAAAGCAGGCCAAUUUUGCCUGAAUAUUCUGUGCAUGGAAUAAUAGAAUAGGACCUCGGUUCUAUUUUGUUGGUUUUCGGAACCCCGAGGUAAUGAUUAAUAGGAACGGAUGGGGGCAUUCGUAUUGCGACGUUAGAGGUGAAAUUCUUGGAUCGUCGCAGGACGGACAGAAGCGAAAGCAUUUGCCAAAAACGCUUUCAUUGAUCAAGAACGAAAGUUAGAGGUUCGAAGGCGAUCAGAUACCGCCCUAGUUCUAACCAUAAACGAUGCCAGCUAGCGAUCCGCCGACGUUCCUCCGAUGACUCGGCGGGCAGCUUCCGGGAAACCAAAGCGUUUGGGUUCCGGGGGAAGUAUGGUUGCAAAGCUGAAACUUAAAGGAAUUGACGGAAGGGCACCACCAGGAGUGGAGCCUGCGGCUUAAUUUGACUCAACACGGGGAAACUGACCAGGUCCGGGCACCGGAAGGAUUGACAGAUUGAGAGCUCUUUCUUAAUUCGGUGGGUGGUGGUGCAUGGCCGUUCUUAGUUCGUGG
rnacentral:rRNA from 1 species